rnacentral:rRNA from 1 species
AAUGGCUCUGGUUAAUACCUGGGGUCGAUGACGGUACCGGAAGAAUAAGGACCGGCUAACUACGUGCCAGCAGCCGCGGUAAUACGUAGGGUCCAAGCGUUAAUCUGAAUUACUGGGCGUAAAGCGUGCGCAGGCGGUUGUGCAAGACCGAUGUGAAAUCCCCGAGCUUAACUUGGGAAUUGCAUUGGUGACUGCACGGCUAGAGUGUGUCAGAGGGGGGUAGAAUUCCACGUGUAGCAGUGAAAUGCGUAGAGAUGUGGAGGAAUACCGAUGGCGAAGGCAGCCCCCUGGGAUAACACUGACGCUCAUGCACGAAAGCGUGGGGAGCAAACAGGAUUAGAUACCCUGGUAGUCCACGCCCUAAACGAUGUCAACUAGUUGUUGGGGAUUCAUUUCCUUAGUAACGUAGCUAACGCGUGAAGUUGACCGCCUGGGGAGUACGGUCGCAAGA